UUGGGACCAUAUCAUGUUAGAACACCGGUUCUUAUACGAUCCCUGAAGUUAAGUAAUGACGAGCCUAGUCAGUACCUAGGUGGGUGACCACUUGGGAAUACCAGCUGCCGUAA